GGCUUUUUAGCUCAGUUGGUAGAGCACUGCACCGUUAUUGCAGAGGUCAUGGGUUCAAAUCCCGUUGAAGCCU
rnacentral:tRNA from 1 species